UAUCCAAGGUUUCCAGAGUAAAGCUGAUCUGCUCUGGGUAAGUCGGGGCCUAAGGUAAGGCUGAGAAGCGUAGCCGAUGGACAACAGGUUGAGAUUCCUGUACCGCGUAUCAUCAGAACUGUGGGGACACAGAAGGACAGCACAUCCCGGGAAUGGAAAGACCGGGGCAAGCAGGGUAGGAGUUAAGCUGGCAAAUCCGCUUAACAAUCCGAAGCUGUGAUGCGGAGCGAAUUUAAGUAGCGAAGUGUGCGAUUCCAGCUGUCAAGAAAAGCCGCUAUUGUGUGAUACGUGCCCGUACCGUAAACCGACACAGGUAGAUGAGGAGAGAAUCCUAAGGCCGGCGGGAGAAGCAUUGUUAAGGAACUCGGCAAAAUGACCCUGUAACUUCGGGAGAAAGGGUGCCUGGGAAACCAGGCCGCAGAGAAUAGGCUCAAGCAACUGUUUAGCAAAAACACAGGUCUAUGCAAAACCGUAAGGUGAGGUAUAUGGGCUGACGCCUGCCCGGUGCUGGAAGGUUAAGAGGAGGGGUUAGCGCAAGCGAAGCUCUGAAUUGAAGCCCCAGUAAACGGCGGCCGUAACUAUAACGGUCCUAAGGUAGCGAAAUUCCUUGUCGGGUAAGUUCCGACCCGCACGAAAGGCGUAAUGAUUUGAGCGCUGUCUCGACAAUGCACCCGGUGAAAUUGAAAUACCAGUGAAGAUGCUGGUUACCUGCGCCAGGACGGAAAGACCCCAUGGAGCUUUACUCCAGCUUGAUACUGGGAUUCGGUACUGCAUGUACAGGAUAGGUGGGAGACUGAGAACUAUGAACGCCAGUUUGUAGGGAGUCGCUGUUGGGAUACCACCCUUGCGGUAUUGGAUUUCUAACCUGCAGCCGUGAACCGGCUGGGGGACAAUGUCAGGCGGGGAGUUUGACUGGGGCGGUCGCCUCCGAAAGGGUAUCGGAGGCGCUCAAAGGUUCCCUCAUAAUGGUUGGAAACCAUUAGAAGAGUGCAAAGGCAUAAGGGAGCUUGACUGCGACACCGACGGGUGGAGCAGGUAGGAAACUAGGACUUAGUGAUCCGGUGGUAUGAAAGUGGGAUUGCCAUCGCUCAACGGAUAAAAGCUACCCUGGGGAUAACAGGCUU
rnacentral:rRNA from 1 species